rfam:Heterocephalus glaber contig57079, whole genome shotgun sequence.
UGGCACCCAACGUGGGGCCCGAGCACGGGGGAUCCAGUGAAAAACGCUGUUCGGAGAGCCGGCGAAAAGAAAAAGAAAACGAAAGAGGACGAGAGUUGACGGGAACCUGCCGUCUCUUCUGAACCUCGGUAAGUGGAACAGCGAAUAUGGGACAAGAAAUCAGCCAGCAUGAGUUGUUUGUAGAAGGUCUCAAAAAGGCUUUAAAGGCACGAGGGGUAAAGGUGACUGUGAAACAAUUGUUAAAAUAUUUUGAUUAUAUUAGAGAUGUUUGUCCUU